rnacentral:rRNA from 1 species
AGCGAACGCUGGCGGCAGGCCUAACACAUGCAAGUCGAACGAAGUCUUCGGACUUAGUGGCGGACGGGUGAGUAACACGUGGGAACGUACCUUUUGGUUCGGAACAACUCAGGGAAACUUGAGCUAAUACCGGAUGAGCCCUUAGGGGGAAAGAUUUAUCGCCGAAAGAGCGGCCCGCGUUAGAUUAGCUAGUUGGGGAGGUAAAGGCUCACCAAGGCUACGAUCUAUAGCUGGUCUGAGAGGAUGAUCAGCCACACUGGGACUGAGACACGGCCCAGACUCCUACGGGAGGCAGCAGUGGGGAAUCUUGCGCAAGGGGCGAAAGCCUGACGCAGCCAUGCCGCGUGAAUGAUGAAGGUCCUAGGAUUGUAAAAUUCUUUUACCAGGGACGAUAAUGACGGUACCUGGAGAAAAAGCCCCGGCUGACUUCGUGCCAGCAGCCGCCGUAACAC